rnacentral:rRNA from 1 species
AACGCGAAGAACCUUACCUGGACUUGACAUCCUUCAGACCACUCCUUAACCGGAGUCUUCCCUUCGGGGACUGAAGUGACAGGUGGUGCAUGGUUGUCGUCAGCUCGUGUCGUGAGAUGUUGGGUUAAGUCCCGCAACGAGCGCAACCCUUGUCUUUAGUUGCCAGCAAGUAAUGUUGGGCACUCUAGAGAGACUGCCGGGGAUAACUCGGAGGAAGGUGGGGAUGACGUCAAAUCAUCAUGCCCCUUAUGUUCAGGGCUACACACGUGCUACAAUGGCCGAUACAAAGGGCUGCGAAGGAGUAAUCUGGAGCCAAUCCCAUAAAGUCGGUCCCAGUUCGGAUUGUGGGCUGAAACUCGCCCACAUGAAGUUGGAGUUGCUAGUAAUCGCGAAUCAGAAUGUCGCGGUGAAUGCGUUCCCGGGCCUUGUACACACCG